rnacentral:rRNA from 1 species
UCCCUCAAGAUAAGAUAUCCCAUAGCGUUAAGCUAGUAAGACCCCUUGAAGACUACGAGGUAGAUAGGACAGAGGUGUAAGUGUGGUAACGCACUAAGCUGACUGUUACUAAUAGGUCGAGGGCUUGACCUA